AAAUUAUUUUCGGGAAAAAAAAAUGUGAAAAUUUUUGAGUAAAAAAAUUUGUGUGUAAAAAUGUUUACGCGAGUUCAAAAAUUUUGUUUGUGAAAUGUUUCACAAGUGUUAAAAUUAUUAUUCGUAAAUCCUAAUUCCAAUGAUGGCUAAAAGUAUCUCCACACAAUUUAUCAAAUACUCCAUACUCCAAACUACACAAACUACACAAUUUACACUUUAAGCUACACAGUCCACACUCAUCGAACCGCAUUUCUAUCUACCAGACUCUUAUACACAAACUACACUUCGAUAAGCAUAUACAUAUGUAUAAGCAUACUUCUUAUACGCUAAUCUGCACACUUAUACACUGAUCUGCACACUUAUCUACACACUAUGCCAAUCUGCAGAGUUAUUUGCACUCUACGCCAAUCUGCAGAGUUAUAUGCACUCUACGCCAAUCUGCAAUCUUAUUUCCAUCCCACACCAAUCUGCAAAACCAACCUAACCUACACUCUACGCACUGGAGGCAAUUAAGCAAAGCAAAUGAAAAAUGGUCGAUUUGAACCAAGUCAAUACUCAAAGGAUACGUGUUUAGCCAUAUGUUUGGAAUUAGGGUAAAAGUUUACAAGUUUCGCAACGCAAUCGUCUAUUUGGGGUGGAUGCAGCAAUAAUGAUUUCUACAGAUACGGGUUAUGUUUUAAAGAAAGCCAUACACAGAAUGGCUUUUCUUUCACUUAAUACAAAUUAAUACCGAAGGACCAGCUGGGAUUAGUCAACACAAGUUUUUUUUCAAAGUUCCAUGUUAAAAAAGAUAUAAUAAAAAAGAUGUCUGAUUGUGAUUAUUAUUAACA
rnacentral:sRNA from 1 species